UAUUUCAUACAACUUUUUAUUCCACUACUGAUCAGAACCUCCUAGCCUGCUCAAUAAUGCCUAACAAGAGACACGGACAUCAUAUUCCUAAAUGGCGACAUGCGUCCAAGGAAAUAAUCUUGAUACUUCAUUAGCAAUGACACCUUCUUUCUUCAGCACGGCUCUAUAAAUUGUGGGCAAGUUUUAGUACUCCUAAUAUCUUGGAAGUUGGAAUGGCAUCCAUGAAAGAGGAAAAGCCAGUGGCCUCAUCUCCAGGGCCCAAGGUUCAGCUCAAGCCUGCAGCCGUAAAAUCUGCAGUCACCGCAAACAAGAAGCCACAGGAGCCAAAGAAGACCACAAGCAGUACUGCUACUGCCAAGGUUACUCGGCCAGCAAAGCCAAAGUGAACGAGUUGCAUGCUGCGUGUCUUCUCGUGGAGCAUAAUUAAGUAGUAAAAGUCUCAGAAUAAAAAGGAUGUGUGAUGUUGCCCUAGUUUGGACUUUUAAUUAAAAUAUGAAUCAGUGAUUAUAUUA